rnacentral:rRNA from 1 species
GGACUACUGGGGUUUCUAAUCCCGUUUGCUCCCCUGGCUUUCGCGCCUCAGCGUCAGAAGAGAUCCAGCACGUCGCUUUCGCCACCGGCGUUCCUUCUGAUAUCAACGCAUUUCACCGCUCCACCAGAAGUUCCACAUGCCCCUACCUCCCUCUAGACCAGCGGUUUCCAAGGCACUUUUCCGGUUAAGCCGAAAGAUUUCACCCCGGACCCUCUGGCCCGCCUACGCGCCCUUUAAGCCCAGUGAUUCCGAACAACGUUUGGACGGUUCGUCUUACCGCGGCUGCUGGCAC